rnacentral:rRNA from 1 species
GAUGAACGCUGGCGGCGUGCCUAAUACAUGCAAGUCGAGCGAACAGACGAGGCGCUUGCUCCUCUGACGUUAGCGGCGGACGGGUGAGUAACACGUGGAUACCUUCCCUUUAGGCCUGGCGUACUUCGGGGAACCCUAAUCAAUCCCCGGUCAUGAUUGUGAACGUGUGGGUUCAUUGGGCAAGACGGUUUUGGCUGCACCUAUGCCGGAUUAGCUAGUUGGUUAGGUAACGGGGUACCAAGGCGACGAUGCGUAGCCGACCUGAGAGGGUGAUCAGCCACACUGGAACUGAGACACGGUCCAGACUCCUACGGGAGGCAGCAGUAGGGAAUCUUCCGCAAUGGGCGAAAGCCUGACGGAGCAACGCCGCGUGAGUGAUGAAGGUCUUCGGAUCGUAAAACUCUGUUAUUAGGGAAGAACAAAUGUGUAAGUAACUAUGCACGUCUUGACGGUACCUAAUCAGAAAGCCACGGCUAACUACGUG